GAGAGCGUAGCUCAGCUGGUAGAGCAACUGACUUUUAAUCAGUAGGUCAUGGGUUCGAAUCCCAUCGCUCUCACCA
rnacentral:tRNA from 3 species